GUAGGAGUCCUGCUUCUGCUGGCUGGUUUUCUGAGCUUUUGGUUGCUGAUCAGAAAGAAGCACAGAAAAGGAAACAAGCAGGAAACCACGGGGCUCCAGCCACAGAGACCUCCUGAUGUGGUGACGUCUGAAGCACCAGGGCGGGGUGAAGCACCG